AUCUGACAUUUUUGGAUUUGGUGCAUAAUUAAUUUGACAACCUGGGCCAAGCCUUUGAGUUGCCCUGGAAACCGAUUUCGGUAACAUAAAGAAGUGCUAGCUGUUAAUUGGUAUUCAGAGUUAGUAGCUGGUGUCUUUGCUUCUGUCUCCAUGGUAACCUGGCCAUCACGUUUUCAUCCCUAACACAGAGAAAUUUGACUUUGGAAGAAAGAAUCUCUUAAAGCAUUUGACAGCUUUACUAUGCCCUUCGCUCCGUGGAAAGGUCUGUGUGGCCCAGAACUGAGGUCUCCAGCCAACAGUCAUGUCAUUUUGGUUCAGACCUAUCCCAUGCUUCCAUAUGAGAUGCUGGAGAAAACAGACCAAAUGAAGAAAAACUUAAAAUGUGAUGAUUUGGAUAUGAAGUGCUCCUGAGCGCUUAUGUUGAAGCCUUGGCCUCCAGCAAGUACUGUUAUUAAAAGGUGGUUGGAUCUAUUUGGUAGAGGUGGUUGGACACUAUUAAGAGGGAACUGCCUUUCUUAAUGGAUUAAUCUUUUCAUGAGCUCAUAAUGAAUGGCUGUUAAAAAGAAGAAGGUCCAUGGAGGUGAAUGUUUGAAAGCUAUGUCUUGCCAGAUCCCCUUUUCUUUGCCUCUUUUUGCUCCUGGCAGCCAUGAAGUGAGAAUUGUUAUUCUACUAUCCUCUCUGAGAGAGGAAAGCCAAGUGGCCAUGAGCUGAGAUCCCCGGAACCAGGAGUCGAAAUGCAUCUUUCCUCCAUGAAAUUGUUUCUAUCAGUUAUUCCAUCACAGCAACGAAACACUGACUAUCAAGAAUGGAGUAUCUAUCACACCUUAUCCUUCAGUUCAUGUGAUGUAUUUCAAAGACAAAGAUUCUGGAAUCUUUAUAAAAAUGUUGGAGGCAUAAUUUUUUUUAACUUUCAAACUUAUUUUCCCAUGUAAAAUG